AACCCAUGAUGAGGGCUUGCAAAAGGUCCUUGUAUCUCUCCCAUGCAUCGUAGAGUGUUUCUAAAUCCAUCUGCUCAAAAGAGGAGAUAUCAUUACGUAAUUU
rfam:Gossypium arboreum cultivar AKA8401 contig_70793_1, whole genome shotgun sequence.